rnacentral:rRNA from 1 species
GCCCAGUAGCGGCGAGCGAAGCGGCAGAAGCUCAGAUUUGAAAUCUGGUCGCCCCCGGGCGGCCCGAGUUGUAAUCUGUAGGGGGGUAUUCUGGACGUCGCGCACCGCCUAAGUCCCCUGGAACGGGGCGCCUUGGAGGGUGAGAGCCCCGUGAGGCGGCGCGCUUCGGACAGUGUGAAGCCCCUCCGACGAGUCGAGUAGUUUGGGAAUGCUGCUCUAAACGGGAGGUAUAUUCCUUCUAAAGCUAAAUACCGGCCGGAGACCGAUAGCGCACAAGUAGAGUGAUCGAAAGGUGAAAGCACUUUGGAAGAGAGUGAAACAGUACGUGAAAUUGUUGCAGGGGAAGCGCUCUUGACCAGUCGCGCGCCAGGGAUCAGCCGCCGCCCGCCGGUGGUGCACUCCCCUAGGCUGCGGGUCAGCACCGGCUCUCGCUGCGGGAAAGAGACCUAGGGAACGUGGCCCCGUCUUCGGGCGGGGUGUUAUAGCCCUCUGUGAAGUACCGCCCGCGGGGGCCGAGGGUAUUCUGCGCCUUCGGGCUAGGAUGCUGGCAUAAUGGUCAUCAGCGUCCCGUCUUGAAACACGGACCAAGGAGUCAAGCAUUGGUGCGAGUGUUAGGGUGUCAAGCCCGAGCGCGCAAUGAAAGUGAACUUUCCAGGUGGGAACCCCUCUGGGGUGCACCACCAACCGGGCCCGAAGCUUCUGCGGAGGGACCUGAGUACGAGCACUAACGCUUGGACCCGAAAGAUUGCGAACUAUGCCUGUGUAGGGUGAAGCCAGAGGAAACUCUGGUGGAGGCUCGCAGCGGUUCUGACGUGCAAAUCGAUCGUCAAACAUGGCA